UACAGAGGGUGCUAGCGUUGUUCGGAAUUACUGGGCGUAAAGCGCGUGUAGGCGGCUUGUUAAGUUCCGUGUGAAAGCCCUGGGCUCAACCCAGGAAGUGCGCGGGAAACUGGCAAGCUGGAGUGCUGGAGAGGAUGGCGGAAUUCCCGGUGUAGAGGUGAAAUUCGUAGAUAUCGGGAGGAACACCUGUGGCGAAGGCGGCCAUCUGGACAGUGACUGACGCUGAGACGCGAAAGCGUGGGGAG
rnacentral:rRNA from 1 species